UGUGAGGAGAGCUGGGCGAACUCUGGGGGAAAUGAGAAGAAGCAAUGGGUCCCCCAAGCGGCUGAAAGUGGGUGGACAGUGGGGGGGUUGAAUGUCUGGAGGAGCUUGGCCAACGGUUGCCCUGGCCUGAAAGGGCCAUUCCGCCUUGUACUGAGACCCUGUCAGAUCUGACAAGCUGAGCUGGGCAGGUCUGGAGGGAACCCCUUCUGCAGGUGCUGCAGUAAGUG